GAUGAACGCUGGCGGCGUGCCUAACACAUGCAAGUCGAGCGGAAAGACGCAGCUUGUGCCUGGUUUCCGCGGGGGGCGGGGGAGUGAAACACAGGAGUAUGCCUGGCAUUGGGGGAUGACGUCCGGAAGCGAGCGCUGAUACUACAUACGACCAGAUCGUGAACCGGGGGGGUCUUUGGACAUCAUGCGAUCUGAUGAGCCUACGCGGGGUUUGCUAGCUGGUGGGGUAAUGGCCUACCAAGCCGACGAUCCGCUGCUGACCUGCGUGGAUGAUCGGCCACACUGGAACUGGGACACGGUCCAGACUCCUACGGGAGGCAGCAGUGGGGAAUAUUAGGCAAUGGGCGAAAGCCUUACCCAGCCAUGCCGCGUGUGUGAAGAAGGUCUUCGGAUCGUAAAGCCCUUUUAGUGGGGAUGAACGGCUUUAAGAUGAUACCUAGCUGUCUUGACGGUACCGAGUGAAUAAGCACCGGCUAACUACGUG
rnacentral:rRNA from 1 species